GGCCUGAUAGCUCAGUUGGUAGAGCAAAGGACUGAAAAUCCUUGUGUCACCAGUUCGAUUCUGGUUCAGGCCACCU
rnacentral:tRNA from 1 species